rnacentral:ncRNA from 1 species
AAAAAGUUUAACUCUGGCUUUUAUUAUAAUUUAAGUAAGAUUUUCAUGAGAAUUUUGUGAUAUAAUAUAAAUAGAUUAAUCUUUUAGAUAGAUAUUUAAUAUUAUUGUGGAUAGAAAUAUCUGUAUGGGUUAUUUAAGAAUAAGUAAAGAGGGUGCCAGCAGCUGCGGUUAGACUCUAUAUUAUUAUAAAUAAUAAGAUAUAUUUAUUGAUUGAGUAAAUUCUCUUAUUUAGGUGAAAUUUUGUUUUUUAAAAUUAACAUUGAGAAAUAAAUAAAGUUUGACAAACUAGGAUUAGAUACCCUAUUAUUUUCUUUUGCUUAGAUUAUUAAGGAUAAAAUUAAUUAGUUUGGCGGCUAGAUAAUUUAGAGGAAUUUGCUUUUUAAACGAUAAACCCCGUUGAAUUUUUCUCUUUUUUUUGUUUAUAUAUCAUUAUUAAAUUUUUUUUGGAAGAUUAUAAAUAAGAUUAUUUUUAUAAAUUUAGAUCAAGAUGUAGCUAUGAGGGAGUUAAAGUUAAUUACAAUAAGUAUUAUUAUAUUAAACAUAAUGCAAUAGUUGUGGUUUUAAGUGGAUUUAAACGUAAUUUUUGUUUAUAAAAAUGAGUGGUUUUUUCUAGUGUACAAAUUGCCCGUCAUUCUCUAUGAGACAAGUCGAAACAAAGUAAGCGUACUUGAAAGUGUGCUUAAAAACAA